GACGAACGCUGGCGGCGUGCCUAAUACAUGCAAGUAGAACGCACAGUUUAUACCGUAGCUUGCUACACCAUAGACUGUGAGUUGCGAACGGGUGAGUAACGCGUAGGUAACCUGCCUGGUAGCGGGGGAUAACUAUUGGAAACGAUAGCUAAUACCGCAUAAUAUUAAUUAUUGCAUGAUAAUUAAUUGAAAGGUGCAAUUGCACCACUACCAGAUGGACCUGCGUUGUAUUAGCUAGUAGGUGAGGUAACGGCUCACCUAGGCGACGAUACAUAGCCGACCUGAGAGGGUGAUCGGCCGCACUGGGACUGAGACACGGCCCAGACUCCUACGGGAGGCAGCAGGAGGGAAUCUUCGGCAAUGGACGAAAGUCUGACCGAGCAACGCCGCGUGAGGGAAGAAGGUUUUCGGAUCGUAAAGCUCGGUUGUAAGAGAAGAACGGGUGUGAGAGUGGAAAGUUCACACUGUGACGGUAUCUUACCAGAAAGGGACGGCUAACUACGUG
rnacentral:rRNA from 1 species